AGCGAACGCUGGCGGCAGGCCUAACACAUGCAAGUCGAGCGCCGUAGCAAUACGGAGCGGCAGACGGGAGAGUAACACGUGGGAACGUACCCUUUGGUUCGGAACAACCCAGGGAAACUUGGGCUAAUACCGGAUACGCCCCUUUGGGGAAAGAUUUAUCGCUGAAGGAUCGGCCCGCGUCUGAUUAGCUAGUUGGUGGGGUAAAGGCUCACCGAGGCGACGAUCAGUAGCUGGUCUGAGAGGAUGAUCAGCCACACUGGGACUGAGACACGGCCCAGACUCCUACGGGAGGCAGCAGUGGGGAAUAUUGGACAAUGGGCGCAAGCCUGAUCCAGCCAUGCCGCGUGGGUGAUGAAGGCCCUAGGGUUGUAAAGCCCUUUCGGCGGGGAAGAUAAUGACGGUACCCGCAGAAGAAGCCCCGGCUAACUUCGUGCCAGCCGCCGCAGUAAGAC
rnacentral:rRNA from 1 species